rnacentral:rRNA from 1 species
UACGAAGGGGGCUAGCGUUGGUUCGGAAUCACUGGGCGUAAAGCGCACGCAGGCGGAUUGAUAAGUCAGGGGUGAAAUCCCGGAGCUCAACUUCGGAAUUGCCUUUGAUACUGUCUGUCUUCGAGUUCGGGAGAGGUUGGCGGAAUUCCUAGUGUAGAGGUGAAAUUCGUAGAUAUUAGGAAGAACACCAGUGGCGAAGGCGGCCAACUGGCCCGAUACUGGACGCUCAUGUGCGAAAGCGUGGGGAGCAAACGAGGGAUUACGAAAACCCCG